UACGUAGGUGGCAAGCGUUGUCCGGAAUUAUUGGGCGUAAAGAGCAUGUAGGUGGGCUUUUAAGUCCGAUGUGAAAAUGCGGGGCUCAACCCCGUAUGGCAUUGGAUACUGGAAGUCUUGAGUGCAGGAGAGGAAAGGGGAAUUCCCAGUGUAGCGGUGAAAUGCGUAGAUAUUGGGAGGAACACCGGUGGCGAAGGCGCCUUUCUGGACUGUGUCUGACACUGAGAUGCGAAAGCUAGGGUAGCAAACGGG
rnacentral:rRNA from 1 species